CCUCCCCAUUUCCCCAUCUCUCUCUCAAUUCUAACCCUAGCCGCCCAACAAUCCUCCACCGGUGGCCGCCACCAUAACUCCUCCAAAUCCACCCAAAUUCACACCCCAUAAUCCUCUCUUCCUCCUCAUCUCAUAUCUCAUUUUAGCUUCUUUGGAAACACCCUAGAACUCCCUAGGUGUUAGAUCCAAAAAGGCCAGAAAUGCCAAUUUUUUUUUUGUUGAUAUCUCCAUUGAUUUUAGCCUGUUUUGAGUUAAAACUAACAUUAGCUAAUGGUUCUUGUCAAGAUCCGUUGAUUAAUGUAAGUUUUAGUUCAUCUCGAAUUGUCGAAAUCCGGCCAAACUUCAUGGAUUCACUUCAAAUCGUCUUUCUUUCUCAUUAGAGGUCUGCCCGAAGGAACAAGAGGUGUACAAUGUAAGAGUAACUUAUUUGUGAAGCUGUGAUAGAUAUAAAUAUUUUACAACUCUAGUUCUUUGAUUAUUUCUUGUAAGAGAAUCAUCAGAUCCUUAUGAAUUUUGUAAAAUUACAAUUGUCUGUAUUUGUUUGUUUGUGUUUUUUUAGUAUCAAUUUGCUUUAAGUAUGUAGAUAUACUGUACACAAAUCCAAAUUUAAGUA